GGCUGCCCCUGUGGCUAGAGCAUCUGUUUUGCAUGCAGAAGGUCCCAUGUUCAAUCCCUGGCAUCUCCA